rnacentral:lncRNA from 1 species
CCUGGUUGGAGCAGCUAAGUGAUGUAAUAACCAUUCUUGGUUGGAGCAGCUUGGUGAUAUAAUAAUCAUGGAGGAAGGCUCCCUUGGGGCCAGGAGUAUAAAGGAUGCACGGACCCUGGUCAACUUGGGCAUAUACCGCGAUUUACCUCCACUAGUCACUAAGGGGCCGGGGGCUAGGGGUCCAGGAUUUAGUCCGGCGAAGCUGGGACACCUGGGUUAUCAAAAAAAAAAAAA